CACCUGAAAGCCUUGAGGGCAGCUUCUGGCUAUGGCUAAGGAGGAGAGAUAGGGGGUGGGGGCAGAACACCUAGGGCAUCAGCAGGGGGUGGCAGGUGAAGACACCUGCCAUCGCUCCGCCACCAAGAGAUGUACUGGGGUUAAAGGAGCGAAACAUCGGUGACUGGUGGUCCCCAGCUGAUGACCCGUUCCUGCCCAUAGGUGUAUGGGGGAGCACACUUGUAUAGAGUGCACUGGUGGAGGUGCGUCAGGCAGCAAUGCCCAGCAGGUAUUCCAACAGCCUGUAUCUUC